CAAGGUGACCUCCACCCACAGCGAGCUCAACAUCACGCAGGGUGAGUGGGUGUCCCAAAAGACCUACACUUGCCAGGUCACCUAUCAAGGCUUCACCUUUGAGGACAACGCUCGCAAGUGCACAGAGUCUGACCCCCGAGGUGUGAGCACCUACCUGAGCCCGCCCAGCCCUCUUGACCUGUACGUCCACAAGUCGCCCAAGAUCACCUGCCUGGUGGUGGACCUGGCCAACACAGACGGCAUGAUCCUGACCUGGUCGCGGGAGAAUGGGGAGUCUGUGCACCCAGACCCAAUGGUCAAGAAGAUUCAGUACAACGGGACAAUCACCGUCACUUCCACCCUGCCUGUGGAUGCCACUGACUGGGUUGAGGGGGAGACCUACCAAUGCAAGGUGACCCAUCCGGACCUGCCCAAGGACAUCGUGCGCUCCAUUGCCAAAGCCCCCGGCCGGCGUUUCCCCCCGGAGGUGUACGUGUUCCUGCCGCCCGAGGGGGAGCCGAAGACCAAGGACAAAGUCACUCUCACGUGCCUGAUCCAGAACUUCUUUCCCCCGGACAUCUCGGUGCAAUGGCUUCACAACGACAGCCCUGUUCGGACGGAACAGCAGGCCACCACGUGGCCCCACAAGGCCACCGGCCCCAGCCCAGCCUUCUUUGUCUUCAGUCGCCUUGAGGUCAGCCGGGCAGACUGGGAGCAGAGGGAUGUGUUCACCUGCCAAGUGGUGCACGAGGCGCUGCCUGGCUCUAGGACGCUCAAGAAAUCCGUGUCCAAAAACCCUGGUAAAUGAUGCCCACCCCUCCCCCCAGAGCUCCAUCCUGCUGGGGCGGGGGAGGGGCCGGCCGGACCUGCCGGUCUGUUGUUGUCAAUAAACACUGCAGUGCCUGCCUCAGA